UGGGGAAUUUUGGACAAUGGGGGAAACCCUGAUCCAGCCAUCCCGCGUGUGCGAUGAAGGCCUUCGGGUUGUAAAGCACUUUUGGCAGGAAAGAAACGUCGCGGGUUAAUACCCCGCGAAACUGACGGUACCUGCAGAAUAAGCACCGGCUAACUACGUGCCAGCAGCCGCGGUAAUACGUAGGGUGCAAGCGUUAAUCGGAAUUACUGGGCGUAAAGCGUGCGCAGGCGGUUCGGAAAGAAAGAUGUGAAAUCCCAGAGCUUAACUUUGGAACUGCAUUUUUAACUACCGGGCUAGAGUGUGUCAGAGGGAGGUGGAAUUCCGCGUGUAGCAGUGAAAUGCGUAGAUAUGCGGAGGAACACCGAUGGCGGAGGCAGCCUCCUGGGAUAACACUGACGCUCAUGCACGAAAGCGUGGGGAGCAAACAGGAUUAGAUACCCUGGUAGUCCACGCCCUAAACGAUGUCAACUAGCUGUUGGGGCCUUCGGGCCUUGGUAGCGCAGCUAACGCGUGAAGUUGACCGCCUGGGGAGUACGGUCGCAAGAUUAAAACUUAAAUGAAUUGAC
rnacentral:rRNA from 1 species